GGCACGGUUGCUAAGUGGUAAAGCAGAGGUCUGCAAAACCUCCAUACGGCGGUCCGAUUCCGCCCCGUGCCUCCA
rnacentral:tRNA from 1 species